rnacentral:rRNA from 1 species
GACGAACGUUGGCGGCGUGCUUAAUACAUGCAAGUCCACUGAAGCAGUGGUAGCAAUAUCGCUGUGGAGGUGGCGCACGGGUGAGUAACACGUAGGUAAUCUGCCUUCAGGUCUGGCAUAACUCCGUGAAACCGGGGCUAAUAGCAGAUGAUGCAGCGGCUCGACAUCGAGACAGUUGUUAAAGCUAUGGCGCCUGAAGAUGAGCCUGCGUCUGAUUAGCUAGUUGGCGGGGUAACGGCCCACCAAGGCAACGAUCAGUAGCUGGUCUGAGAGGAUGAUCAGCCACACUGGAACUGAGACACGGUCCAGACUCCUACGGGAGGCAGCAGUAAGGAAGAUUGCUCAAUGGGAGAAAUCCUGAAGCAGCAACGCCGCGUGAGGGACGAAGGGCUUUUGCUUGUAAACCUCUGUAGUGAGAGAAAAAAAUCCCAAUCUUUGGGACAUGAUGGUAUCUCAAAAGUAAGCCCCGGCUAACUACGUG